CAGACUGACUAAAAACCCGGAACGUUAUCCGCAAGACACAAACUAUUCAGAACUCAAGUAUUUUAGUCCAAUGAUAUAGCUCGCAUGAAAAGGAAAACCAUGCCCAAUUACUCUGAAAUUUUAUAGUAAAAAGUCACUAAUCAAAGAGGUGAGGCUUCUAUUAAGUUGGCAAAUUAGGAAACUUGAUAAAUGCAGGGGUUGUUAGUUUUGCAAAGCCAGUUAAAGGGUCUAAGAAUAUAUUUAGGUUAAGGCAACAGACCUUUCGCAAGACAGCGUCACUACCUCGUCCCAGGCUGUUUUGCGCCGUCUGGGAAGUAAUUUGCCGAAUUGUGUUGAACUAUGGUUGAACAAGCGGCAGAAAUAUCAUGACUCAUGAGCGACGCAUUGUUGAAAUUUCUUACGUAUGGUAUAUUUAUCACUUAUUUACUGAGACCGAGGAAAACAGUGUGUUUUGUGGACCCGAGAAUGCCAUUGUUGUCCGAGGCGAAGCCGAAGGCAACAACGGCGGUCGAGAGGUCACGAAACACACUGCUUUCCCGAGGUCUCAGUAAAUAAGUGUUUUGUUAUAUAGUAUAUAUAAGUGUCAAAGUAUGAAUAAUUCACCGGUUAUUGGAGUGAACUAUUGGAGUGUGGGUUUGCGAUAAACAUCAGUCGUAAACCCACACACAUAGACAAAUACUUGUCAUACGACUCUCAUCACCCAGUAAGCCAUAAAAGAUCCGUAGAAAAAACUUUGCUUCAAAGAGCUGAAUCCUUGCCGUCAAACAGUGAUUCUCAAGCUAAUGAACGUGAAUAUGUUCUAAAUAUUUUAGGGGAAAACGAUUACCCAAAAAGUUUUCUUAAUGAUUGCCUGAGAUCACCUGUUUGUAG